rnacentral:SRP_RNA from 1 species
GCUGGGUGUGGUGGUGCACACCUGUAAUCCUAGCUACUCGGGAGGCUGAGGCAGGAGAAUCGCUUGAACCUGGGAAGUGGAGACUGCAGUGAGCCUAGAUUGUGCCACUGCACUCCAGCCUGGGUGACAGAAUGAGACUCUGUCUCAA